rnacentral:rRNA from 1 species
GGGCCCGCACAAGCGGUGGAGCAUGUGGUUUAAUUCGAAGAUACGCGCAGAACCUUACCAACACUUGACAUGUUCGUCGCGACUCUGAGAGAUCAGAGUUUUCGGUUCGGCCGGACGAAACACAGGUGCUGCAUGGCUGUCGUCAGCUCGUGUCGUGAGAUGUUGGGUUAAGUCCCGCAACGAGCGCAACCCUCACUUUUAGUUGCCAUCAUUAAGUUGGGCACUCUGAAAGAACUGCCAGUGAUAAGCUGGAGGAAGGUGGGGAUGACGUCAAGUCCUCAUGGCCCUUACGUGUUGGGCUACACACGUGCUACAAUGGUAUUUACAACAGGAAGCAAGACUGCGAAGUUAAGCAAAUCCCUAAAAAAUACCUCAGUUCGGAUUGCACUCUGCAACUCGAGUGCAUGAAGCUGGAAUU